CGCUGUUUGUUUAUCGUGCUCGUGAGAAACGGGAACGAGUUCCGGUGAAUAUCAAAUUUCUGCGUGUUCUGCUCAUCGAUGAAUUUCGUUGAUAAUUUACACAAAUGGACGAGUAGGAUGGAUCUGGACUUCGGGAACAAACUGCCGCAGGCUCUGUCGACAAACACUAAACUGCCCCAGUCUCUCUCCUCUAGCGCGAAGUUUCUGCCCUCAGGCCCGUUUGAGCGCUGCGGCCGCCCGCUGGGAGUCAAAGUCAAAGAGGAAGACGAGAGUGUGGAGGAUUUCUUUCAUUUCGCUCAGCACCUGCAGCAGCAGACCGGAGAGUGUCUCACGGCUUGUUGCAGCGGAUCGAACCC